GGGGAUGUGGCUCAGUGGUAGAGCAUUUGACUAGCAUUUGUGAGGCCCUGGAUUCAAUCCCUAGCACCACCA
rfam:Ictidomys tridecemlineatus contig130413, whole genome shotgun sequence.